GCCAGUGUAGUGUAGUGGUUUGAAAAUAGGACUGUGACUCUGAAGACCAGGGUUUGAAUCCAUGCUCAGACA